AUACGUAGGGGGCGAGCGUUGUCCGGAAUGAUUGGGCGUAAAGGGCGCGUAGGCGGCCCGGUAAGUCUGGAGUGAAAGUCCUGUUUUUAAGAUGGGAAUUGCUUUGGAUACUGUCGGGCUUGAGUGCAGGAGAGGUAAGUGGAAUUCCCAGUGUAGCGGUGAAAUGCGUAGAGAUUGGGAGGAACACCAGUGGCGAAGGCGACUUACUGGACUGUAACAGACGCUGAGGCGCGAAAGUGUGGGGAGCAAACAGGAUUAGAUACCCUGGUAGUCCACACUGUAAACGAUGAAUGCUAGGUGUAGGGGGUAUCGACCCCUUCUGUGCCGGAGUCAACACAAUAAGCAUUCCGCCUGGGGAGUACGGACGCAAGGUUGAAACUCAAAGGAAUUGGCGGGG
rnacentral:rRNA from 1 species